rnacentral:rRNA from 1 species
AAUCAACGCUGGCGGCGUGCCUCAGACAUGCAAGUCGAACGCGAAAGUCCCCUUCGGGGGACAAGUAGAGUGGCGCACGGGUGAGUAACACGUAGGUAAUCUACCUUCGGAUGGGGAAUAACAAUCGGAAACGGUUGCUAAUACCGCAUAAUGCAGCGGCACCUAAUGGUGACAGUUGUUAAAGCGGGGGAUCGAAAGACCUCGCGUCUGAAGAGGAGCCUGCGGCGGAUUAGCAGUUGGUAAGGUAAUGGCUUACCAAGGCGACGAUCCGUAACCGGCCUGAGAGGGGCGGUCGGUCACACUGACACUGACAUACGGGUCAGACUCCUACGGGAGCAGCAGUCGGGAA